GACGAACGCUGGCGGCGUGCUUUACACAUGCAAGUCGAACGGUGAAGGUGGAGCUUGCUCCGCCGGAUCAGUGGCGAACGGGUGAGUAACACGUGGGCAACCUGCCCCUAACCUUGGGAUAACUACUCGAAAGAGUAGCUAAUACCGGAUAUGAAGUCUGUAGGCAUCUAUGGAUUUGGAAAGUUUUUCGGUUAGGGAUGGGCCCGCGGCCUAUCAGCUUGUUGGUGAGGUAGUGGCUAACCAAGGCGACGACGGGUAGCCGGCCUGAGAGGGCGACCGGCCACACUGGGACUGGGACACGGCCCAGACUCCUACGGGAGGCAGCAGUGGGGAAUAUUGCGCAAUGGGCGAAAGCCUGACGCAGCAACGCCGCGUGCGGGAUGAAGGCCUUCGGGUUGUAAACCGCUUCCAGCAGGGAAGAAGCGAAAGUGACGGUACCUGCAGAAGAAGCACCGGCUAACUACGUGCCAGCCGCCGCCGUAA
rnacentral:rRNA from 1 species